rnacentral:rRNA from 1 species
GGCGUAAAGAGCUCGUAGGCGGUUUGUCGCGUCUGCUGUGAAAUCUGGAGGCUCAACCUCCAGCCUGCAGUGGGUACGGGCAGACUAGAGUGCGGUAGGGGAGAUUGGAAUUCCUGGUGUAGCGGUGGAAUGCGCAGAUAUCAGGAGGAACACCGAUGGCGAAGGCAGAUCUCUGGGCCGUUACUGACGCUGAGGAGCGAAAGGGUGGGGAGCAAACAGGCUUAGAUACCCUGGUAGUCCACCCCGUAAACGUUGGGAACUAGUUGUGGGGUCCAUUCCACGGAUUCCGUGACGCAGCUAACGCAUUAAGUUCCCCGCCUGGGGAGUACGGCCGCAAGGCUAAAACUCAAAGGAAUUGACGGGGACCCGCACAAGCGGCGGAGCAUGCGGAUUAAUUCGAUGCAACGCGAAGAACCUUACCAAGGCUUGACAUAUACGAGAACGGGCCAGAAAUGGUCAACUCUUUGGACACUCGUAAACAGGUGGUGCAUGGUUGUCGUCAGCUCGUGUCGUGAGAUGUUGGGUUAAGUCCCGCAACGAGCGCAACCCUCGUUCUAUGUUGCCAGCACGUAAUGGUGGGAACUCAUGGGAUACUGCCGGGGUCAACUCGGAGGAAGGUGGGGAUGACGUCAAAUCAUCAUGCCCCUUAUGUCUUGGGCUUCACGCAUGCUACAAUGGCCGGUACAAUGGGCAGCGAUACCGUGAGGUGGAGCGAAUCCCAAAAAGCCGGUCCCAGUUCGGAUUGAGGUCUGCAACUCGACCUCAUGAAGUCGGAGUCGCUAGUAAUCGCAGA